UUUGCUUUAGUAUCAGCAGUUAGAUCGACGUAAGAACGAUAGAGUCCUCAGCCGGAUUUCAGUAGCAAGCUCAAAGGGGAGGUUUUGGUAUAAGCCUUGUGUCAAUUACACGUCGGCUAAUUUAACACGCGUUUGUGCCGUGUCUCGCGAGCCAUCCGACGAGACGUUUCUCCAUCGCGUUCAUUCCGAAUCAGACGCGGUGUGUGCGCUCCGGAUGAAUUCCAGCUCCGUUAUUGAGCCAAGCGUUGUUUAGUCUUGUUUCGAGGGAGGCGAUAAGUACCUCGGCGCAGCGACAAACCCAGGGCUUUUCGUUAUCGAGCCACUUGACAGCUACAUUCCUCGUCGAUUCCAUGUCCCACGAAUCUCACGCGUCUCCAUAACAAUUCCAUGGGACGGCAUCGACUGUUGAGCGGCAAGAGACGAAAAAUCAGCUGGUAUGUCAAAUAAUCAGCUGGUUGACUCCUGUCUGUAAGUGUCUUUCUCUCCUCGAGCUCUCUGCCCAAGAGGCUCGUAACCGAAUUAAUACCUACUCUCUCUCUCUCUCUUUCUCUCUCUCUUUCUCUCUCUGUCUGUCUGUCUCGAUUUUUCUCUCUUUCUAUUCGUUUUCAAUAAGAAGCCCGAUGAUCGUGAAGCUUUUCUCCCCCCUUUUACACGGCUAGCGCAGAACGUAACUCGGCCAAUUGGCAAAACUCGUUUCCCCCGGUAAUGGGUAGAAAGAAAUAAAGAGACUCCGACUAUCUCUUCCGUCUAUCCCUGCUGUCGUUCCAUUCGUUUUGGCCCAUUUUUCCUGGCGCCUCGGUUAGAAGGGAGGAC